UAGUUUUUUUUAGAUACUGACAUACUGUUUUAUGUUUUUUUAAAUGUAAUAGAGAAUUAAUCAUACUAUAUUAUGUAAUCUUCAGUUAUGUAUUUAUGUUUAUGAAUGUAAGAUUUUCUAAUUCAAUUUACAGAAAUAGUUGUCCUAGCCACCUAAGGAGGCAUACAUUCUGAGGAACUUUGAGCACAAGGCGAGUGACCCCCUUCACGACCAAUUCGAGGAUAUACGAAAGGCACAUGAGUGCCCCUUGUGGCUUGACAAGGAUGUGUUCGCCAACCUUCUAAAGGCCUGGGACUCUCCAACUUAUCAGAAGAAGAGAGAGCUAGCAAAGCAGAAUCACUGCUCUAAAUACAAGGGCAUUGGUGCCUCAAAGCACAUUGAUGGGACGAUCCCCCAUGCUGAGUACAAGAGGAGGCUGAGAAAAAACGAGAGUCAUCCGCUGUAGAGUUAUAUGAGCGCACUCACAUGUGGCAGUCAGAUCAGUCUUGGGUGAAUAGUAGAUCCCAGACGACCCAGAGGCUCAAGGAGAGACGUUCCCAACAGUCAGAUGGUGGUUUGACCCCACACCUCACGUCUCUUUGAAUAGAACCUAUGGAGGAGGCUAUUGACAACAAGAAGAAGGACAGGUUUUAUGGGUUAGCGUCCCAGGCGUCGACCUAUGAUUUAUGAUGCCUAUCCGACCUCUAGCACAUCCGGUAUAUCUACUUCUACUGCACAGGAGAAGGAGUUUCUUUGCUAGGUUGAUACAGAGGUUGCUGCCUAGUUCUCUACCCAACUAGCCACUCAAAGAUCGGAGAUGGAGCUGAAGAUGAAAACAAAGAUCCGGUAUAUCUACUUCUACUGCACAGGAGAAGGAGUUUCUUUGCUAGGUUGAUAUAGAGGUUGCUGCCUAGUUCUCCACCCAACUAGCCACUCAAAAAUCGGAGAUGGAGCUGAAGAUGAAAACAAAGAUCCAAGCGAUGUUGCGUUAUGAAUGACCGAAAGGAAAGCUACCAGUUUCGAAUGACGAUUAAGAGGAUGAUGAUGAGUGAUUGAUGAGUAUGAGUAAGGGUUAUUUUUUACGGUUUUAGAUAUUAAACAA